CCUACGGGUGGCAGCAGUGGGGAAUAUUGGACAAUGGGCGAAAGCCUGAUCCAGCCAUGCCGCGUGUGUGAAGAAGGCCUUCGGGUUGUAAAGCACUUUCAGUGGGGAAGAAAGCCUUGGGGCUAAUACCCUCGAGGAAGGACAUCACCCACAGAAGAAGCACCGGCUAACUCCGUGCCAGCAGCCGCGGUAAUACGGAGGGUGCGAGCGUUAAUCGGAAUUACUGGGCGUAAAGCGCGCGUAGGCGGUCUGAUAAGCCGGUUGUGAAAGCCCCGGGCUCAACCUGGGAACGGCAUCCGGAACUGUCAGGCUGGAGUGCAGGAGAGGAAGGUAGAAUUCCCGGUGUAGCGGUGAAAUGCGUAGAGAUCGGGAGGAAUACCAGUGGCGAAGGCGGCCUUCUGGACUGACACUGACGCUGAGGUGCGAAAGCGUGGGUAGCAAACAGGAUUAGAUACCCGGGUAGUC
rnacentral:rRNA from 1 species